UCGCCCCACUCUGCGCCCUCGAGCGAGGUUUCGUGCCCUUGGGCAAGAAACAGUCGCCCGACUCUUUGCCCUCCUUCGCCUGCCGCCUCCCUUCGUCCCUUCGCCGCCGCCCUGGCCAACGAGCCUCCCUCGAUCUGUUUCCUAAGAUCUCUCAAGACCGCCCCAGCCCCGAGACAGGCAGCCACCGAGAUCCGAGAUCGGAGAUGAGCCGCCUCCGCUGAGGAACGAGAGGAGUCGCCGCCUCCAGGUCGUCGUUGUGCCACACCGCCGCCUCCAGGUCGCCGCCGUCACGCACUGCCUCAGGUCCGUUGACCACUCCUCUCCUCGCCACUCCUCACUGCCAGCCCCGCAUAGCUCUGCCUCCACGACGGGGAUUCGCUCUAUGGCGUCCAUGAGAGGUGGCUGCAGCCGCCAUGGUGCUGAUCCGGUCCUUGCUGCUGGAUCCGGCCCUCUCCACUCCUCCUCCCAGUCUGAUCCAAUGGCGACUGCACGACGUCGACCUCCCGGAUGGCGUGAAGUCCCAGCGGCAACCUCAGGCCCCUUGCGGUUGGGGUCGAUUUGAGGUGGCUCCGGUGGAAACAUGGACCACAUCACACUGUUACAGGGGCUCCCGAGGCGACAUCCAGUUGCUCCGUGUGCGGGGAUUAUUUUCACCUCUGUUUACUUUUGCGUUUAUUUUGCACGCCAAAAACAGGCGAGCGAAUCGGGAUUCAGCCGUGCGAGAUUUUUUGCGAUGAUGUUGCUCCAUGUUCUUUUUGUGAUUCAGGUGUUCGUUUUGCACAUGUUCAUAGUGGGCAACCUCGAGGUCAUCGUCACUUCGAGCGCGGCGAGAUCCUCGAGGUCGUCAUCAUCACAGACAAGGGCACUGGCAGAUCCAAUGGCAGCGGAUUCGAGGCGGAGGCGGCCAUUAGGGUGUGCUUGAGUCCGUACCCGAUGAUUAGCGGCCGGAGGGCAACUGCAACCUUGCAUGCCUCGGGUCCAGAGGUCCAAGGCACCACAACCAACUGCCUCUUCAGCCAUAUGCUGGGUGUCCGUGUUGAACGUAGCAGAUGGUUGCCCUUCAAGCAUCAACAAAUUGGAAAAUUCAAGCUCUGAUGAGAUUACAAGCAGGGCAGAAAGGGAAUCAACACCAUCACUCCAAAACAUUGAAGGUGAAUAAGUGAACCACUAUUUAAGUAAAUAGACGAAUCAUAUUUUGUUAGAACUAACCAGUUGCUGCUAAUAUAAUCCUCUCCAGGAAGAUCAGUUUCAGACAAUAUAAUCUGCUAUUUACUUUCUAAUUUCUAUGUAUUUAAGCAUGUUCAAACUCAGUACAAUUGUACAAAUGGAUAUAUUUUGAUUUGGUGACUUGCUAGAGACGAUUGUUCUGGACAGAACCUGGACCUUAUGAUAUCUACCUAUAUAUAUGUUUCUGGCCGCAUGUCUACUUAUUCUCUUAAGGCCACAGUAGGACCGAUCGACACUAGAUAUAUCUAAUAACUGUAUCAUGGUUUUCGCAAAAAAUAAAUAAAUUAAAAAAUAACUGUAUCAUGGGAUCACAUGCCAUUCUUUUUGCUGAAAAAUCACCUGGCUUUAUUGGAAAGGCUUGAAACAAAGCGACCUGCUUGACGAGCUCCAAACAGAGGUAAGGCUUGAUGCCCCCGCUGGAUCAACUAUUUUUACAAUAUUGUUGUGACUUUCUAAUGACUGCGGCCCAUUUUUUCUUCAUUGUUCUUUGAUCUUUUUUGGGAGAUUUAACAAGUUUCUGAACCAUUAUGUAAAAGAAUUGGAAUCACUGACAUAUUAAAUUCAGCCACAAUUGCAUGAACGAGUGAGUGCUGAGUAGCGAACCCAAUUUUUGCCAUUUCAGAUAUCUAGCAACGUAAUAAUAAGACCACUAAAACUAAUAAUGGUACUAUCUCUUACAAAUUAAUUUACCCUUACAACGGAUUGAGGCAGUAGAUUACCGAGCCUGCAUCAUGAUGGCCCUUCUUUAUGUCAGUUGUCUUGGACCAGUUAAAGGUAACCGCAUCUUUCUUACAAUUUUUUGGACUAUUAAUAUUUUCCCUGUCUGAGCCAACCAAAAGAUACUUUCAUGCAGCUAUUUCUAAUUUAAUUUAAACCAAGAUGACUAUCACCAGUCCCUUUUUUAGUUUUCAUGCAUUUAUCAAGGAAGCUACUUUGUUACUUGGAAUGAUAGAAUAGCUACAAUGUAGAUAUGCUGAUUUUGUGUUUGAAUCAGUCUGUUCUGCUGAAUGCCUCUUUUAUUUGCCAAGCUCCAAUGGCUUACCAAGAUGUGGCUUUUUUCAUGGACCAAGUAAUUAAAUUGUAGAUUCGUUGUGUAUGUAAGUUGACAAGUAAUACAUCUCCAUUUUUUCAGUUUCAGCAAAAAAAUUGCACUGGAUUGUGCCGGCUGGGGUGGUCACUUUCUUUGGAAAGAAAGAAACAUAUAUAUUGGAGAUGCAUGCGUUUAGAUUUAUAUUUUCUUUUUUGCCAUGAGUUCAAUAGUCUCUGUUAAAUCACAGUAAUUUUGUUGCUCUGCUGAGCAGGUUUUCUUAUACAUAUAUUUAUUUUGAAAAUUCAUAGAUGGAUGAAAUGCUGCUGAGACGUUACAAGAUAUUCCAGCAGAGGCAUCCUUACCGUCCGCAUUACAAGGAUAUGAGAACAUUGGGGUCCUGAAGGCAGUGACCUGUUUACCAUACACAUAUUUACUUCCUUUCUAGGGCGGAACAAUGGAAGGCACAAUUCCAAGUACAGCUCUUCAAGAACAGGAUCUCUGAAGGAACAACAAUUUACAAGCUUGGCGCUUACCAGGUUCAAUAUGCUAGGGAAAGAUACAAAACUGUAGAUCGUCCAUGGAGAGUAGUGUUUGCCCAAAAAACUACCGUGGAACCAAUUGUGCCUCAGCCACCAAACUUUCCCAAGUAUGGAUAUACGACCUACAAUGUACACAGUAUCAAAGCCGCAUUAAACAAAUUGUUUUGUUGUCAGGUCAGCAACUCUUAAGAAUUGUUUUUAUUGUAUAAUUUUCCACUUCUUACAACUUACAAUUUACUGAACUUGUGAAUGUUGGAUUAGUUACCAGCAUCACAAGAAUAUUUGCGCCGAGCGGCGGAUCGGUUGACCAGAUAUGAGAAAAUCACAUUGCGCCACUUUUAUCAUUUUUCAUUCUGUGUUCUUAUCUCUUCACUGAAACAAUGAUAUAUCUUUCCAGAAUGCCUGCCGUUGUGACGUUUUGGGGAAAAUUAGCAGAUGCCCUUGAUGCAGACAAAGCUACAACGGUGGUCUGCUCAAGAACCCAUUAUAGUUCUAUUUGUUGGCAUGCCAGUACAUGAAUUUAAUGAAACUUGGCCUUCAAGUCCUGUCUGGCAACUCGAUGGUACAUAAAUCCAACUAUUUCUGAAGCGGCAGCUAUUCUAGGAAGAUCUACUGCAAGAUCCCAUCAAAUUGAGAUAAGCACCGGCUCACAGGGUCAUCGCUAGGCAACAAAUACAACAAUCACAUAAUUAUCAGCCGUUGACCCUGGUGGAAUCAUGGACCAGUACUAUAAACUGGAAAUAAAGAGAACUGAAGUGUCCCCUUCCAUGGCGUUGGGCGGCCUUUCUCUGCCAGGCGCGGCGGCUCCUCGGUAGGAUGAUGCAGCUGGCUCGGCGGAGGCUAGGACACAUUACAAGCCCCCUCACCCACCCUGACGAGAAGGGCGGCAAGACGAAACUGCUUGCUGAUUUUUAUCGUUGCAUAAAUAUGCUUAUUGUUACAGUGCUUGUCGCAGAGCUGGAGAUGGAAAGAACCAAUCUUACUUUACUAUUAUGUGAGAAUUAUUAGUCUGCAAAUUGAUUACUAAUCCCUCCGUCUCAAAAUAAGUGACUCAACUUUGUACUAGCUUUAGUACAAAGUUAGUACAAAAUUGAGUCACUUAUUUUGAGAUGGAGGGAGUAUUUUCUAUCCUUUGGUGAAAUGACCAAGAGCAAGCAAGAUGUUGCCAAUACUUGCGAGAUGAUAGUGUAGUUGGCCUUGACUUCCUUUUCUGGUCCUAACCAAUUUUAGAGAACAGUGUAAUGUUUUUCAUUGUUUAUUAUCCUCGGUGCAUACAAAAAAUUACUUCGAGUCUCAGGUAGCCAGGUUGCAUUAUCACCAUCUUACAAAUAUUUGUUGUGCAGGUCUGAGCUGUGUGCAAGGAAGCUCAAGACAUUGGAGGAAAGCAUUGUCGGAUAUAUGGUAUCCUGACCCUCUUACUUGGGACUGGGAUAAGUUACAAUCAUACAUGUUCUGAGUUCUGUACUCCCAUGUACUUGGGUCCAAUAAUUUAUCUUGACAUUAUUUUAAAUUUUUCUCUAAGAUGUGCAUAUCACUGCUGAAUUUUUUGCAAUAUAUAAAUUCAGUGUUAUUGUGAACACUUGAACAAUACAUACUGAUGUGUAGAAUGAGAUUGUUGUAUACUGA